rnacentral:lncRNA from 1 species
CAGGACCACACUGGACCCUCUCUCCCCCCGCAGGGGCUGGACCUCUGCAAAGGACUAUGUAGAAUAGAAGUGGUGAGAGAGGACACCCUGUCUUGUUCCGGUUCUUAGAGGUAAUGCCUCCAGUUUUUCUCCAUUUAGAAUAACGGUGGCCUUGGCUUAGCAUAGAUAGCUUUUACAAUGUUGAGUUAUGUUCCUACUAUCCCUAGUUUUUCUAGUGUUCUGAACAUGAAAUGGUGUUUGACUUUGUUUUUCCUAUUUAGGGUUGUUGAUAUUAUUCUACACUUUUUCAUGGAAAUUCUCUUCUUUAUUUUAGAACUCAUUCUGCUAUUCCUGUUCUAAUGCCAUCACUCCUUCAACGUUCUUAUGUGGUCUCCACAUUUCCUUCCAGAAGACACAUUCCACAAUGCUUUACAUAAUAGAGUUUCAUUCACCAUUUGGUAAGUAAGGAGUGCUCGUGUUUUGAACAUUUUGAGAGAUCAUGUUUUUCUUAUUUGUCUUUUGUGAGUUGUUGAGGUCUCAUCUGGGCCAUUUGUGGAGUGGCAAGACAAGAAUAUCACUUGCACCAAUACAUCUCUUGAAGAGAGCUGAGUAGUGCAAUUUGACUGUACAAUGAGUUUGAUUUCUGGCCCUAUUUUAGGGUAAAGGGUUACUCUCACAGCUGGCCAUAACUGUAACGUCUGUGUGGAGUCGGCUGGUAGUAGUGACGAGCCCACAUGGCCGGCCCUAAUGACAUAGGAGUCUGUGACUCCUCUUCCCGCUUACACUGUAACCCCCUACUGUUUGAGGGGCCAUGCAGGCCCCGCCCUGGUUUCCCAGCAGCAGAGAAGUAGGAAGUUAGACAUAGUGGCCAGCUGCUCCCACCAUAUCUAUCGGAGUUUUCCCACGCCAAGUGGUCAUCUCUCCAGUAGCGACAUCUACGCAAACCAGGAGAGGUCUCUGCCCUGUUGCGCAGGGACUCACAGUCCUGAGCCAUGUGCCUAGUUCUACCACAGUUGAAACACCACCUGUGAGAAUGGCUGUCCAAGACUGAGGUUGUAGCACCUGUUUCAGAGUCGCAGCAAGUGUUAAGCCCUGUAUCUGUGUUGGACCCACAUCUGCACAAAGGUGAAUAAAUUUAGAAACAGUCCCCCCUUUUCGAUUGGGUUGGAGGAUCUCCUGACAAAGUUUACUAGCAUUUUCAAAUGCUAGCUGCUUGACCAGGGACUCAGAGGCAUUCCAGUCUCUUUUUGAUCUGUUGGCUGCCUCAUAGAGACGUGCCACAAAAUCUGAGAAUGGCUCCUCUGAUCCUUGUCAGAUUUGACUAAAAUCCAAAGCUGAUUCACCUCUAUUAGGCAAUUCCCUCCACACCUUUUGACACAUGCAGUAAUUUGAUCAUAAAUUGCUAGAUUAUAAUUUAUCUGCCUUUCCAAAUCUGCAAAUUCUCCACUUCCAGUUAACAUCUCCAAAGGGGCAUCAAAGACUUGUCUCUGGUUUCUCUCAGCCUGUUCAGUGCAAUUAUGAGUCCAGUGAGAUCACCAAAGCAGAUUAUCACCCCCCAAUAAAUAAGUUUUGGCCAGAGAAAUCCAAUCAUGUGGGGGCUCAUUGCAUAAAGAAUCAAGCAUGUCCCGACCGGCAGGACACAUCAACAUGGGCAGCGAACCUAGAUGGGGAGGAAUGAAGGGACAAGAGACACGAAAGGUGACAGCAAGACAGGAGUCUGAUCAAGCUGCAAACUUUUAUUGUUCACACAGGGGUAUUUAUAUGCUGGGGAUGGGGAAGCUCUCUUAUCAGCAGUUGCUGGAUGUCUUCACAAGGUGAGAUAACCUCAGGAUGUUUCAGGAAGACAGAUGGCGGAAGGAUGUCUCAGGGAGAUAGAUGGCUACAGGAUGUCUCCCAGGCAGGAUGUCUCCCAGGGGGCUGUUUCUUUUAACUGUCAGGCUAUUCUUUGAAGGAGAACUUCCUUCUAGCCCCUGGCAAAGCAGACUUUGAAUGAAGGCUGAUUUUGGACCAUUAAGUACAGCAAGCAUUUUUUAGCUCUUUUAGAGUCUGAAGAAACUGCAGCCUGCACGUGGCCACCCUGGUUUUGCUGGUUAACCUGCUCAAACUCUGGAAAAAGCUGAAAACCUGUAAUAUUGUCCCCGCUUCCAGUGCUGUCCUAAGGCCAUAUUGGAGGGGUAUAAGUGUGGCUACUGGCAGGUCUGUGCUCUUAUUGCACUGUAUGCCCUGGGAAUUAGGUAUUAUUCCCCUUCAAUAUACAGAGCACAUCUGUGUUUGAAACUCUGUACUCACCUUGUGAAACUCAUUACUCAUUUUGUUUGUGUGGCCUGCAGAUGAGGAUUGGCUUGAGGAUCUAAGACCUGUGAUUACCAGCCUGAGGCCAGCAUAUCUCCUUAGUUAGAGUGUUUAGGGUAAAGCUGCUGAAAGUUAUUUUUAUUCGUAUUAAAAGGGUUUAACCUGGUCACAUAAUGCAUUUAGAAGCUCUUAUUGGCCACUAUAGAUUCCUUGAUUAAAACCCUACAUUAAAUAAUUAUAUUUGGGACAGUCUUUCAAUGAUAAAGUUGUCUUUAGUGAAAAGAUUGAAACAAUUCAACUUGAUGUUUAGCGAAUAGAUUUUAGAUUAUUGUGUAUAUUAGUUAUUGUCAUUUCUUUUACAUUAACUAGUAGCUAUAUGUCAAAUAAAUAACAAUUUUAUCAAUAUUAAAGAGAUGUAUUAAAACAUCUUAGUGAAUACCUCAAACCAUGGGAUUUCUUAUGAAUAUUAACUUUAAAAACUUUCCUACACCAUGAAGAGCCUAUGUAGUCCCUUUGCUCUCAGAACCCUGGGUACAUUGAAGCCCUAAAGUGGUGUCUGAAAAUGAAUGGUUGGAAGUGUGCAUUUGUGGGAUACACUGAAGCAGUUUCAUAGGCCAGCACACUUUAAUAGAAGUAUCAUGGGAACCCAAAUUUGAAUUUUACAUUUUCCCAUGGCUGUUUAAAAAAAAUAAGCCUGCAUAUGAAAUAUUUUUUAUUAUCUUUUUUUUUCUUUUUUAAAUUUUUAUUAUUGGUUAUUCAAAACAUUACAUAGUUCUUGACAUAUCAUAUUUCAUACAUUUGAUUCAAGUGGGUUAUGAACUCCCAUUUUUACCCCGUAUACAGAUUGUAGAAUCACAUCGGUUACACAUCCACAUUUUUACAUACUGCCAUACUAGUGUAUGUUGAAUUCUGCUGCCUUUCCUAUCCUCUACUAUCCCCCCAUAUGAAAUAUUUUGAAGAGUAUAAAUGAAUGAAUUCAUUUUAUUCAAAUUACAAUUUAAACACUAAAUAAAAGUGGAAAUCAUCAAUGUUGUCUCUGUACAUUUGUUCACACUAUGUCUUCUAAUUCUGAGUGCACUGUACACUUAUAGAAUAUCUGAGCUCACACUUCUG